rnacentral:rRNA from 1 species
UACGUAGGGGGCAAGCGUUAUCCGGAAUUACUGGGUGUAAAGGGUGCGUAGGCGGGCUUUUAAGUCAGCGGUAAAAAUUCGGGGCUCAACCCCGUCCGGCCGUUGAAACUGGGGGUCUUGAGUGGGCGAGAAGAAGGCGGAAUGCGUGGUGUAGCGGUGAAAUGCAUAGAUAUCACGCAGAACCCCGAUUGCGAAGGCAGCCUUCCGGCGCCCUACUGACGCUGAGGCACGAAAGUGCGGGGAUCGAACAGG